UCCUCUUCCUCCUCGAAAACUGCAGAAACAAAACUCUAAGUAUCUUGAGCAUAGGAAACCUUGAAGACUGCCUCUGCAGACACACUUCUUCCAACAAGGACAUAGCCACUCCAACAAAGCCACACCUCCUAAUAGUGCCACUUCCUAUGAGAUUAUGGGGGCCAAUUACAUUCAAACUACUGCAGUAUGGCUUCUAAAAACUUUAGUUUCAAUAUUAUAGCUAAAUUAUGAGUGAGUGGAUGCACACUGAAGGAAAAGGCCAUGGGCAUUAGCGGAAGGUCGUACUUUUGUUUCCACCUAUGGAUUCCUUCAAAAUUAGUGAAGAUGAGAUUUGAAUGGUGGAUAUCUCCUGAGGAUUUUGGCUGCAGACAUGAGAGAGGAAGCCAGGAAAGACUGCAGGACAGGUGACAUGUAAGCCGAUCCCUCUGCAUGGGAACAGCUCUGAGACUGAGACAUGAUAAAUCUUGUUGGUUACAGGAACCUCAUGACUAUUAUAACAUGCCAUCCUUUUAUAUGGCAUGGGUAGAGAUUUAUAUUACAGUUUGGUUAUGCAGUUUAAAUGGACUUACAAAGUUGACACAUGUCUUUUACCUGCUCAAACACAGUUGAGAAUAAUCUUGUUGAUUUGUGAAUACCAUACAUUAUAUAUUUGUGUUAAUGCAGAUAUGUGUUACCUUUAAAAGAUUAUGUAUUUUCAAAAAGGAAAACGAAAAAGUACCAGACAUCAAUGAAGACAAGUGCUCCAGCUUCUCAGAAUACUUCUUUUGUAGUCUCAAAAUUCUACACCCAGAACAACUUCAAAGCUGCUAGUGAGACUCAUCUGCUCCUGGCAGCACCAUUCCAAAAAAGGAUGAUGGACAUCCAAUUACCUCCAUAUGGAGUAUGCUUUCAUUGUGGCAAAUUCACACACUGGGAUACGAAACUGCCCUUGCUUUGACUGCUGACAGUAUUCUGUCCAAAAUGGACAAGCAGGAUAUUAAUGAAGGCAACUGUCAAGGCAAGGUGCCAGACUGGGUUUUAUUGCUGUGGCUCUGAAGUAGAAGAUGGAAAUCUGGCAUAGAAAUGACCUCUCACGUUCUUAUUUCCAAUAAAACUGAUUUUGGAUGAA